AGUGAACGCUGGCGGUAGGCCUAACACAUGCAAGUCGAACGGCAGCACAGUAAGAGCUUGCUCUUACGGGUGGCGAGUGGCGGACGGGUGAGGAAUACCUCGGAAUCUACUUUUUCGUGGGGGAUAACGUAGGGAAACUUACGCUAAUCCCGCUUACGACCUACGGGUGAAAUCAGGGGAUCUUCGGACCUUGCGCGAUUGAAUGAGCCGAUGUCGGAUUAGCUAGUUGGCGGGGUAACGGCCCACCAAGGCGACGAUCCGUAGCUGGUCUGAGAGGAUGAUCAGCCACACUGGAACUGAGACACGGUCCAGACUCCUACGGGAGGCAGCAGUGGGGAAUAUUGGACAAUGGGCGCAAGCCUGAUCCAGCCAUACCGCGUGGGUGAAGAAGGCCUUCGGGUUGUAAAGCCCUUUUGUUGGGAAAGAAAAGCAGCAGGUUAAUACCCCGCUGUUCUGACGGUACCCAAAGAAUAAGCACCGGCUAACUUCGUG
rnacentral:rRNA from 1 species